rnacentral:rRNA from 1 species
AUGCCCUACCUGGUGUACAAAAUCAGUGUAUCAUGCAGGCGCAAUGGGAUGCAGAGAAAUAUCCAACUACAUGAUGUACCUACUGCGUGCAAAGCCAGAGAUGUUAAUGACGGGCACAAGGCGGAAUCUGUUCAUAGCCGCUUACAACAAACUCAAGGAAACCCGUGCUGCCCAAAACCACCGCUGGAGCAACGAGUGCGGGGGCGACCCAUGGCCAUGGGCCUGCGAAGGUUCUUGCACCGCUGCAUGAAUUCAAAAGAAGAAAAUGAGCAACAAAUGCUGGAGGAAAAAUCAGUUGCAGAGAGAACAAGUGAACUUUCUCUACAUUUUACAGCGACAUUUCAGAUAUGCUAUGUCUAG